rnacentral:tRNA from 1 species
GGCUAAAUUAAAUGAUAGUGCUAAGUAUGUAGAACUGUCUGUAGAGUGCUUGCGGACGCGGGUUCGAUUCCCGCCGCCUCCACCA